rnacentral:rRNA from 1 species
AUGAUGUCUUUUGACUUCAUAUUUAUUCUGCAUGUCAUGAAAGAACUUAUGGGAAUCACGGACAUGCUAUGCAAAAAGUUGCAACAAAAGUCUCAAGAUAUUGUGAAUGCCAUGGAUGAUGUUAAGACUACCAAAAUGUUGAUCCAGGAGCUAAGAGAUAAUGGUUGGAACAAGCUUAAAGCUGACGUGCUUUCAUUCUGUACCAAACAUGGAGUUCAAACACCACAUUUCAGUGAGUUAUAUGUGGAUUUCAUUAAUUCUCGUGCGGAGGAUGAGACUACAGUUGAGCACCAUUAUCGCUGUGACAUUUUCAUGGUUGCUGUUGAUCAGCAAGCACAAGAGCUGAAUUGUAGAUUCAACAAACAAGCUACAGAGCUUCUCAUCCUGUGUACUUCCUUGGACCCAAAAGAUUCAUUCCGUUCAUUUAACAUUGAUAAUAUAUGUUCUCUAGCUUCAAAGUUCUAUCCUGCUGAUUUUAAAGAACAAGAAAUGAAUAAUCUAAGAUGUCAGUUACGACAUUACGAGAAUGUUGUACCCACAAGCCCAAAGUUUCAGAAUUUGACAACUAUAUCAGAACUUUGUCAACGACUUGCAUCUAGUGGAAAAUCAGAUGAAUAUUACUUGAUUGACAGACUCAUUCGGCUUGUUCUUACUUUACCGGUUUCAACGGCAACUACAGAACGUGCAUUUUCUGCCAUGAAACUUGUGAAGACAAGGCUUCGGAAUAAAAUGGAAGAUGGAUUUCUAAGGGACUGCUUGCUAAUUUAUAUUGAAAAGGAGAUUGCUGUUGGAAUAUCAACAGAUGCAAUUAUAGAUGAGUUCGAUGAACCACCACGUCGAGUGCCAUUUAGUUGA